AGGCCAUGAUGAAGCUUAUAUUGACGGUCGUUGGUUUCGUGUUGUUGUUUUCCGUUCAGGAAAGUACCCAGCAACCGGAACGGAGCAAAGCCUACAAAACUUUAAAAGCCGCCCUUAUACAAGGAAUUGCCGAUGGACUUCACCAACUCGCCCUGACAGGGGAGAAAUUUUCAAAAUUUGAUGCAGAGAAAAAACUAAGUCAAAUUACUAUAGUUGAAACCGUAAGAUUAACCGAUCUUUUUAACAAAAUAAAUCCCAAUUACGUCUCCAAGGUUAUAGGAGAAGCCUUGAGAUCUCCAGAAGUCCAAAAAGAAUAUCAAGAGAUAAUAAACAUCUCACCUAGAUUUAUUGGAGCGACCGUAAUGGGAGUUACUCAACUUACCUCCGAUUUUAUGAAGAUGAUUUUAACUAGGUAUUGAAAUACCAAAUUGUAAUCUGUGGUAGAAACAGCGUUAAUUACAUUACCUGGGAUAAGAAA